rnacentral:rRNA from 1 species
GACGAAGGAUGCAAGCGUUAUCCGGAUUCAUUGGGUUUAAAGGGAGCGUAGGUGGCCUUAUAAGUCAGUGGUGAAAUCUCGCAGCUUAACUGUGAAAUUGCCGUUGAUACUGUAGGGCUUGAGUACAGAUGCCGUUGGCGGAAUAUGACAUGUAGUGGUGAAAUACAUAGAGAUGUCAUAGAACACCGAUUGCGAAGGCAGCUGACGAAACUGUAACUGACACUGAGGCUCGAAAGUGCGGGGAUCAAACAGG